GACCUCUAGUCGGAAAAGACCACCCGCUGAGUUUAA
rnacentral:rRNA from 1 species